rnacentral:lncRNA from 1 species
GGCGGUCGCUGGACGCGUCCGGCUCCCCGACCAAGUCGUCGCGCGUCGGGAGCGGGCUCCUGACCGGGACGCCGCCGCUCGAGGCGCUAAACGACGUCGAAGCGGCCAUACUCCGCGACGCGCAGGCGAGACACGCCGCGUUCGGUCUCCCCGGCGUCGUGAGCGCGUUUCGAGUCGCCGCGAGGGCGCACCGCGGCGACGUCGACGACGUCGACGGUUCUGAAGCGCCGUUUCUGAAGCGCUGCGUCGAGUGCGCGUCCAUCAUCGCCCACCUCGGGAUGGACUCCAGCGCGGUCGCGGCCGCGCUGCUCUGCAACGUCCUCGACCGCACGCCGGUCAUCGCGGAAGAGCUCGCGGUAGCGCUCACGGGCCGCCCCGCGGUUAUCGACAUGGUGAAGGGCGCUUCGAGGCUCGCGCUCGUGUCGCGGAUGCGUCGCGCGUCGGCGCGCGAGCUCGACGCGGAGGAGCGCAUGCAGCUCCGCGCGAUGCUCAUCGCGGCCACGGACGCGAGGGUCGUCAUCGUGAAACUCGCGGACAGGCUCGCGACGCUGACGUCGUUGACCGCCGCGGCCGACGGCGGCGGCGUCGACGCGCUCGGCGGCGAACGCGACCGCGCGACGCGGCUGGCGGACGAGACGCUCGACGUCUUCGUCCCGCUCGCGUCUCGGCUCGGGAUAUGGACGCUCAAGGCGCGCCUCGAGGACGCGUGCUUCGCGCUGCUUCACCCCGC